UACGUAGGGUGCGAGCGUUAAUCGGAAUUACUGGGCGUAAAGCGUGCGCAGGCGGUUUUGUAAGUCUGAUGUGAAAUCCCCGGGCUCAACCUGGGAACUGCGUUUGAAACUACAAGGCUAGAGUGUAGCAGAGGGGGGUGGAAUUCCACGUGUAGCAGUGAAAUGCGUAGAGAUGUGGAGGAACACCGAUGGCGAAGGCAGCCCCCUGGGUUAACACUGACGCUCAGGCACGAAAGCGUGGGGAGCAAACAGG
rnacentral:rRNA from 1 species